AUUCCGGUUGAUCCUGCCGGAGGACAUUGCUAUUGGGAUUCGAUUUAGCCAUGCUAGUCGAGCGAGUUUAGACUCGCGGCGAAUAGCUCAGUAACACGUGGCCAAGCUCCCCUUCAGUCAGCGAUACCCUCGGGAAACUGAGGUUAACAGCUGACACAAAACGCCAGCUGGAAUGCGGCGUUUCAGAAAGACAUCGCUGAAGGAUGCGGCUGCGGCCGAUUAGGUAGACGGUGGGGUAACGGCCCACCGUGCCAGUAAUCGGUACGGGUGAUGAGAGUCAGAGCCCGGAGACGGAAUCUGAGACAAGAUUCCGGGCCCUACGGGGCGCAGCAGGCGCGAAACCUUUACACUGCACGGAAGUGCGAUAGGGGAAUCCCAAGUGCGAGGGCAUAUUAGCCCUCGCUUUUCUCGACUGUAAGGUGGUCGACGAAUAAGAGCUGGGCAAGACCGGUGCCAGCCGCCGCGGCAAUACCGGCAGCUCAAGUGAUGUCCCAUAUUAUUGGGCCUAAAGCGUCCGUAGCU
rnacentral:rRNA from 1 species